ACGGAAGGCAGCAGUGGGGAGUAUUGCACAAUGGGCGCAAGCCUGAUGCAGCGAUGCCGCGUGAGGGAAGAAGGUUUUCGGAUUGUAAACCUCUGUCAUCGGGGACGAUAAUGACUGUACCCGAGAAGGAAGCUCCGGCUAACUACGUGCCAGCAGCCGCGGUAAUACGUAGGGAGCGAGCGUUAUCCGGAAUUACUGGGUGUAAAGGGAGUGUAGGCGGGACUGUAAGUCAGAUGUGAAAUAUGCCGGCUCAACUGGCAGACUGCAUUUGAAACUGCGGUUCUUGAGUGAAGUAGAGGUAAGCGGAAUUCCUAGUGUAGCGGUGAAAUGCGUAGAUAUUAGGAGGAACAUCAGUGGCGAAGGCGGCUUACUAGGCUUUAACUGACGCUGAGGCUCGAAAGCGUGGGGAGCAAACAGGAUUAGAUACCCUGGUA
rnacentral:rRNA from 1 species